rnacentral:rRNA from 1 species
GGUCCCACCUGACCCCAUGCCGAACUCAGAAGUGAAACGCCGUAGCGCCGAUGGUAGUGUGGGGUCUCCCCAUGUGAGAGUAGGGCAUUGCCAGGC